rnacentral:rRNA from 1 species
UACAGAGGGGGCAAGCGUUAUUCGGAAUUAUUGGGCGUAAAGGGCGCGUAGGCGGCCAUUCAAGUGACGGGUGAAAGCCCUCGGCUUAACCGAGGAACUGCCUGUCAGACUGGAUGGCUUGAGACCGGGAGAGGUGAGUGGAAUUCCCAGUGUAGCGGUGAAAUGCGUAGAUAUCGAGAGGAACACCUGCGGCGAAGGCGGGUUGCUGGGCCGACACUGACGCUGAUGCGCGAAAGCCAGGGGAGCGAACGGG